GCGUGUGUGAAGAAGGCCUUCGGGUUGUAAAGCACUUUCAGCGGGGAAGAAGGCGUUGUGGUUAAUACCCUCGGCGAUUGACGUUACCCGCAGAAGAAGCACCGGCUAACUCCGUGCCAGCAGCCGCGGUAAUACGGAGGGUGCAAGCGUUAAUCGGAAUUACUGGGCGUAAAGCGCACGCAGGCGGUCUGUCAAGUCAGAUGUGAAAUCCCCGGGCUCAACCUGGGAACUGCAUUCGAAACUGGCAGGCUAGAGUCUUGUAGAGGGGGGUAGAAUUCCAGGUGUAGCGGUGAAAUGCGUAGAGAUCUGGAGGAAUACCGGUGGCGAAGGCGGCCCCCUGGACCAAGACUGACGCUCAGGUGCGAAAGCGUGGGGAGCAAACAGGAUUAGAUAC
rnacentral:rRNA from 1 species